GAUGAACGCUGGCGGCGUGCCUAAUACAUGCAAGUCGAGCGAAAAGACGAGGAGCUUGCUCCUCUGCCGUUAGCGGCGGACGGGUGAGUAACAAGUAGAUAACCUACCUAUAAGACUGGGAUAACUUCGGGAAACAGGAGCUACUACCGGAGAAUAUAUUGAACCGCAGAGUUCAGUAGUGCAUGGCGGUUUUGCUGACACUUUUAGAUGGAUCCGUGCCGCAUAGUUUAGUUGGUAAGGUAACGGCUUACCAAGGCAACGAUGCGUAGCCGAUCUGAGAGGGUGAUCGGCCACACUGGAACUGAGACACGGUCCAGACUCCUACGGGAGGCAGCAGUGGGGAAUCUUGGGCAAUGGGCGAAAGCCUGACCGAGCAACGCCGCGUGAGUGAUGAAGGUCUUCGGAUCGUAAAACUCUGUUAUUAGGGAAGAACAAAUGUGUAAGUAUCUAUGCACAUCUUGACGGUACCUAAUCAGAAAGCCCCGGCUAACUUCGUG
rnacentral:rRNA from 1 species